AAAGGCAUCUCCCAAGACAUUCACCAUUGUUCUGAAUCGAUCCCUAUGGAAUAAAAAUGUUGUCAGACAGCACAGCAGGGGCUUUAUGACUGAAAGUGCCACUGUGGCUAUGCAGAGAUGUGGAUGCUGGACAUGUUCACAAAUAGAAGGGACUGCAAAAACAAUACUUCAGUGAAUCAGUGUUUCCCAGGUACAUACUAUUCCACUAUGGUUGUGGAGCUCCUGUGCUAAAAACUGCCUGUGUAUUCCCCAAGUGGGAGGGGAAUAUCUGUGGGGGGAGGGAAGAAGGAAACCUGAAGUAAAAUUCUGGUAGAAUCAGUGUGACAAGUGAGGAAAUCCACAGUAGUGGAAACUUGUCUUUCAUAAAAUACUUCUAUUCUGUGUCUUCAUUAAAAACACAGAAGAAUUGUACAAGCCUAUGUAAUAAAACCUUGGUAAGUUCAGAAUUAACCAAGGAUUGUUAAUGAGACACUGAGGCUGUACAAUAAUACAUUUUAGACAAUAAGUACAAAAGGCAAGAAUGUUAAUAAUCUACGUGGUAUCAUAGUGUGCAUUGCAUCUGCUGAGGUGCAAGAUGCCCUGGCAAUGACCCCUGGUACAUGAAAUUAAUCUUUAAUUUGCUUUACACAGCAAGACACCUUCACUGGAAAAAUAUCUGGAUCAGAACUGGAGGUAGCUUGAAUUCUUUGUCUUUUUCAUGAUGGAAUGGGUAGCUUCUAUGUAUUCCUGUCAUGCCUAAGAAUCACACAAAUUAUGGAUUUUUUCAAUGUGGAGAAGAGAUUGGGUCUAUAAAAUUGUGAUUACAAUGGGAAUAGGGAAUGACUGUUCUCUUUCUCUCUCUCUCUCUCUUUUGCCUGUGAAAGAACUAGAGGGCAUCAAAUAAAGUGAUUGGGAGGCAGAUUAAAACAAAAUGAUAUAUGUCUUUGCAAAACAUCUUUAGACUGUGGAAUUCCUCUCCACAGGAUGUGUAGAUGCUAAAACUUUAUGUAGGUCCAAAAAGCAAGAAGGUUCAUUCAUGGAAGAAGAAAUCUAUUGAGCCUGUUAACAUGAAAACCACCUCUAGCCCAGGAACUCUUCGAGCUGUAACUUGCUGGAGGCUAGGAGAGUAAUUUGGGAGAAGUGUCACUGUUUGUUUGUCCUGUUCUGGCACCCUCUUUUAGAUCCCUACUAUGGACCAGUGGUUUGUACUGAUCUUCCCCAUCCUUAACAAAACCAAAUGCCCUCCCUGAAACAAAGAGGACUGGGGAAAACAAAAUGAUUGUGGAGCAAAACAGACAAAUCCAUGGGACACCGUUGCAGACAGCUGAUGGGGAGAAUGUAUUUCCUGUUGGAGCUGUUUUGUUUGGAGCAAUUGUGCUUUUAUACAGAAAGUGAGUUCAUUUUUGGAUCCAUUCAACAACCUUGGUUUUCUGGAAACCAACAGUAUUUCAAAACAGUUUGCAAAAUUGAGUUAUAUAAUCAAAGAAAUUAAAUAUAUCUGUGAAAUACAGAGGAUGCUGCCAAGAAAUCCUUCAAGAAAAUGAUUGAAAAAGGUGGGGGAGGAAAAGGAAUGAACCUAUCUUGAGUGUAAAUAGAAGCCUAAGAAAAUGUAAUGCAGCAACUAUGAGGUUACUAGGGCCUCUGCAUUGACUCCAACAGAAUACCUUCAGUGCUGAGUUAAUGCAGGUGAGCAAGACCUUGGUCUGAGCACUAUAGUUUGCACAGUUUAGAAGGCAGAUAAAAACUGCAUUAUAACCUAAAGUUAUAUUCCUUAAUCCAGGAAUCCUACAAUUCUUUCACAGUGAGUCAUGGGACAGAAGUGGUAACUGAUGCCCUUCUGACCUCCAGAAAACAAUGCAUGAUUCUCUGGGUUGUUGUAGAAGCUAGGCAAAAAAUUUUCUUAGGGUAAGUAAGUUGAACAAAAAAGACUGGUGAAAACUGAGACAUGAUCCCUGGAUCAUGAUGUUCUGGAAGUGAGAUAUGGAUGACAUGAAGAACUCUGUGAAAAAUGCUAGCCCUGCAAGAGGAGGGCUUAGAGAAACUCUUUAAAGUUAAUCUAAAGUCUUAGAAUGAAGCAGUGAAUCUGAACAUGAACACUAUUUCCAGGACUCAGACCAGCCUGGGUCAAGAUCGAGGAAAACAUUUGCUUUUGUAGAUAAUAAUAUUUACAAGGUCUAGACAGCAUUCAGCAAAAGGAUGAUAUGGUUUCCCAUCUAUUAGCCCACUCUAGAUACUGGAACAGCAUUUGGUCUAGGGAAAAGUUAAUGUGGCAGUGGGGGCUAGAAAAGCUUUUCAUGAUAUUCUGGGAAACCAGGAACAGAGAUAUUCAUCAUGACCAGUAGAUGAUGUAGCUUGUAUGCAUAGGACAUAGAAAUCACUGCUGAAACUGAUGUGAAUGUGAAUGUGCUGCCUGCAUCUGUUUCCUGCGUUGGACUAAGCAAAAAUCACUGUCAUUCAUUUUCAAAGCCCCAUGCAGCAGGGAGAAGCAUUAAGGCUGGAAAGAGACAAACCACUCCAAGCAAUGCUGCAAGUCCUUCAUGCAGUGAUAAACUUGACCCAGACUUUGGACUUCCACACUGACAGUACCACAUCACAGUUCUCUGCUGAGGGCCUUGGGGGUUUAUCAUAUCAAAUAAAGCACUUCUGUCUCAUUUUGUUGAUCAGCUGGAGCCAAUAAGGGAGCCCUAAAAUAUCCAUAUGGACAAAACAAAAGCUUCCAAAGCCUUUUCCAAGAAGAAGAAUGUAAGCUGAUCUCUAAAGAUAGGCAAAUUUUAAAAGAAUGUGACAAUGUCCCAGGAGAUCAAUGCUUCUCUCUGGAAAAGAGCUGUUUUAAUGGGACUGAAGCAUUGUGGUGUGCUCUGAGGUGAAGUGGUUGGGAUCAGGGGCCCGAGGAGUGCCUUCUACAUUUGCAUGUGUGUGUGCUUGUUGGUCAUGGGCUGGGUCCUCAAAGGAGUGUCUCAGUGAAGAACAGCCCCGGCAUGCUGAUGCCAGCAGAACAAAGCCGUGCAUGGGCCUGCCAUGUGUGUGCACGUUCCAGCUCUGCUUCCUGCAUAUUGCUCUCCACUCCCUCUUCAUUGGUAUGUGUAUUUUAUGUGCUUUGAGGAAAUCAGCUGAGAUGUUCUGCUUGUGGUUUGCAUUUGAUUUUUGCGAAUGGUGUAUGUAUUUAGCAUAAUAUGGAGGGAGCUGAGACGCCCCAGAUGUACUCCUUAGUACUGUCUUUACUAAUGAUGCUAAUGAUUUAAUAACGCUGUGGCCAGUGUUUUAAGGUUGAUAGUGCCUCUGGAUGUGAGGUCAUUCAACGUAAUCCCAUGCAACAGAACUUCUUUCAGGGUUAAAGACACUAUUGCAUCCAACUCUAUACUGAACAAGUCUGGCCAUAACAAGAAUCUUUGUCUAAUUCUGGCAGCAGUCCUAACCAAUUUUGUUGCCUUCCUUCACAGACCCAGAUAUUCCCACGCAAGUUCUGUAAACAUUGCAAACAAACAAAAAAGGAUUAAAUAUCAAGUGCCUUAAACUUACAGAAGCCAGUCAACUGCAAUGAUCAGGGUAACAUCUUCAGCUGGCAGGCCAACAGCGCUCAGUACAAUCACCAUAGUGACAAGUCCAGCUUGGGGGACGCCUGCAGCUCCAAUGCUGGCUGCUGUAGCUGUGACACUAAAAACCCAAAUAAAGCCAGAAAAAGGAAUUCAGAAAACAUGUUACUCACAGAAGCUGUAUUUUCUCACACACAUAGACUUAUUCUUACUGCAAGAAAGAUAUACAAACAUGCCAGUUUUCCUCCUGAAUAGUAUCUACAGAAAGUCUGGAGAAAAAUUUAUGGGACAAGUCAUGUAUAGAUACUUUUAAUCAGUGCCUUUACAGAUACGGUAAUUUAUAACAUUUAGAGUAGAUUCUGUUGCUUGCUGGCCAGGAAAACAGAGGUGUCAUGCUUAUACUGCAGAGUAAAUAGGUAAAUGUACUUCUGACAUGCAAACUGGGCAUAUCAGUGGAAGAGACUGAGUUGGAUUUGCAAGUGUUUGCUGUAAGAGAAUGGGGGCAAUUUCCAGAAUAACUUGGUUGUAUACCAACUGCCUGCCCUGGCCAACACCACCUCCUCAUCAGGUUGCGUAGACAAGGCCUUGGAACAAGAACUGAGAAUAUUUCUGUUAUUUCCUGUGCUGUGAGUGACACUUUCAAUUUUUCGAUGGGGUAUCUAAAGCAAAUGUACCAUUCAUUAAAAAAAUACCAAGAAAAUUUGUGUGAUGGCUUUAGUCUCACCUUAUCGUAAUUAUUUGGCCAAUAUCCAGUUCUAAGUCAUUCAGCUGUGCAAUAAAUAUAGCUGCCACUGCUUCAUAGAGAGCUGUGCCAUCCAUGUUGAUGGUAGCUCCAACUGGAAGAACAAACCUGGUAAUUCUUUUGUCGACACAGUUUUUUUCUUCUGCACAGCGAAAGGUGACAGGCAAAGUUGCUGAACUGAAACCCAGAUGAAGAGACAAAAUAAGCACAGGCAAGAACAUACCAUUCCCUUCAUCAGCCUGGUCUGCUCUAAGACUCAAAUGGAGAUCUAAGACAGGCAGGAAGGCUGCACUAUGAAGUGAAGAGUUCACUCUUAAAGCUAAGUAACAUUUGCUAUCAUCUAAUUAUGGGAAGGAAUAACAAAGACUUAGUUAUCCUCUACAUAGUAAAAGCUUCAUGAUGUGUAUAGUCAUAGAAACACUAAAAGAGCUUACACUCCAGAGAGACUGUAAGGAAAUGAAUGGAAAAAAAACUAUGAUGUCCUAAAUUUAUACUGGGAAGGGCUGUCACAAGUCUGGUGUAAGGCCACUGUAGCUCCAUUGCAAUCUAUAGUGCCCUCUUACGUGCUCCAAAAAUAAUGCUGAAAGUAAUAUUUCAACAUCCAGGGGAUUUAUAAUUGUCCAGGUGAAGUCAAGGUAGGUAAAAAAGUAGCAGUAAAAUCAGAGAACAAACAAUGCAAUUACUACUAAGAACAUUAUAGAAAAUACAUGUUUCUUCUAUUUACCUGGAAGAAACCAUGAGGGCUGUCAGAAGUGCUUGAGCCAUCCCCAUGGCAAACCGAAAAGGAUUUUUCCUCACUAUUAUUAAGUAGAUCAGUGGCAGAAUUACAAUGGAGUGGAUUGCAAGCCUGUAGAAGAAAAUGGACUAUUUAAACAGUUGGAUCCAUCUCACUGCAUAGUUUUAAUAAGAUGGUGAUAGCUGGCAUCAGAUCCACGUGUGAAAAUUCCUGUGACUUUAAAGAUAAAAUAAUAAAGUUCAAACUACAGAGAAUAUACUGCCUAAAAAGACUACAGACUAAUGCUCUUAUAUUUAUUCUGUCAGAGGAGAGGGAGAGAUUGUUACUUGCCUCUGCUUCCAAAAUAAAAGAAGAAAUGGGAUUAAUAUAUUGGAAAUACACUGAUAAAGAUGAAAAAAGCGAAAAAAAAAAAAAAGAGUAAUAUUUAAACUGAUACAUAGAGGCCAUUUUGAAGUACGUUUCAACACCCCACUCUCCUGUCAAAUCCUUACAAUUCAUACUAGAAACAAAUCAGAGAAACAAGCCAAAUCAUUUUUCUAAGUUUAUCUGCCUUUACUAUAGAACACAUUUUGGAAUUAAAGGUAAAUGUAGUCUCCAGUUAGGGACAGAUGAAUCCCACAUCUUUCUGUAGAAGCUUCAAAGAAAAUCAUACAAAACCCUCCACACUUUUAUGUUGUGGAAAAUUGUGUAAGUUUAGGUCUAUGAUUCAAAUACAUUUCUUUUACAU